rnacentral:misc_RNA from 1 species
GCGUCAUUUGUACCCUCAAGCUCUGCUUGGUGUUGGGUGUUUGUUCCGCCGCGCGCGCGAACUCGCCUCAAAUGUAUUGGCAGCCGGCAGUCUGGUGUUUGAGCGCAGCACAAUUUGCGCUCUUUCCCAGCUGGCGCGUCCACAAAGCCCAUUUCUAUGCGCUUGACCUCGGAUCAGGUAGGGAUACCCGCUGAACUUAA